CAACAGAGGGCCCUGGAGACCCAAAUCCGGAUGUGCCGGCUCUCUUAGUUCCUGGACCCUGGACACUGGAGGUAGACCGAGCCGAGCCGAGUUCUCCAGAGAACACCGCCAGACUGUGCUACGGAUUUCCCAGACCCUGCAACCUACCUAUCCCUUCAUUUGAUCUGAAUUUCAAGGUAGUCUGUACUUGCCUGAUGAACUCUUCUCAAGCUCACCAUAGUCAAUUCCUUCAUCCAUUUUUCAGGUGGAGCCCCCGCAGCCAGCAUCUGCAAGGAUAAUCAGCCCGCAAGUUUCCAGGAAUUCUACAGUCUCUGCCUCCAGUCUUGUCACAUGAGCAGUCAGGUUACACAGAGCCUUAGGACUUAAUGUUUGGAAGAAUUUGUUCACAACAACCUUGGAUUCCAUGUGGUCUGUGUGGCAGAAGGACUGUUGUUCCAAGUCUUAUGUGAUUUUUGUUGUCAAGGAACAGCUUACCCCUCACCCAAUAUUAUCUCCAUUAUAAAUGGGCAUCUCUCAGUUUGGA